UAGAGUUUGAUCCUGGCUCAGGACGAACGCUGGCGGCGUGCUUAACACAUGCAAGUCGAACGAUGAAGCCCUUCGGGGUGGAUUAGUGGCGAACGGGUGAGUAACACGUGGGCAAUCUGCCCUUCACUCUGGGACAAGCCCUGGAAACGGGGUCUAAUACCGGAUACGACCUGCCAAGGCAUCUUGGCGGGUGGAAAGCUCCGGCGGUGAAGGAUGAGCCCGCGGCCUAUCAGCCUGUUGGUGAGGUAACGGCUCACCAAGGCGACGACGGGUAGCCGGCCUGAGAGAGCGACCGGCCACACUGGGACUGAGACACGGCCCAGACUCCUACGGGAGGCAGCAGUGGGGAAUAUUGCACAAUGGGCGAAAGCCUGAUGUAGCGACGCCGCGUGAGGGAUGACGGCCUUCGGGUUGUAAACCUCUUUCAGCAGGGAAGAAGCGAAAGUGACGGUACCUGCAGAAGAAGCGCCGGCUAACUACGUGCCAGCAGCCGCGGUAAUACGUAGGGCGCAAGCGUUGUCCGGAAUUAUUGGGCGUAAAGAGCUCGUAGGCGGCUUGUCACGUCGGGUGUGAAAGCCCGGGGCUUAACCCCGGGUCUGCAUCCGAUACGGGGCAGGCUAGAGUGUGGUAGGGGAAGAUCGAAUUUCUGGGGAAGGGGAAAAGUAAUUUCGGGAG
rnacentral:rRNA from 1 species